rnacentral:tRNA from 2 species
GCGGACGUGGCGGAAUCAGGCAGACGCGCUGGGUUUAGGUCCCAGUACCCGCAUGGGUGUGGGGGUUCGAAUCCCCCCGUCCGCA